CGAUCGAUAAAAAUCAAUUAUUACGUGUCAAUGACCGACAGAAAAAUUUGCUUGAAACUAUAUCUCUAAAAUUGGUUGAAACUGGACAGUUUUAGAUGUAAAAACCGCAAGUUUCAUCGUAGAAACUUAAACUUUUUGUGGGCUUUUUAUUUUUAAUGUGCCCUCAUGCUAGAUUGAGCAAUUGCGUGAAUCAUGUGGCAAAACCAGCGGGCAGCACGACUUGGCCGGUGAGUGCACUUGCACUCUCGUGCCCCUGCACAUUUCCUUAGAUGAAUGACACGAUCGAGCAUCCCCCUUAAAUUUGUACUCGAAGAUUUGCACAUGUUGUCCAACUUAUUAUACCUGGAAAAAAAACUUAUUACAAAGUCUCUCAAAAUUUAAAAAAAGUUUACUACUCAAACAACAAGGUCAUGACACUCAGAACUCAGGUCGAAGUAAUUCUAUCGCUAAACCAACAACCCAAGAACCUUACAUGAUGGUAUUAUGACACCGACACUCCUUGUCAUUUCACACUUUCAUGUCAUGAUGGCACGAGAAGCAUGCUUAACUCUAACACCAUCUAGGUUUGAAGCCUAAGUGAACAAUAGCCGAAUGGUAUGUUCACGAGACAAUUUGUCUCAUUUGAUUACAGUGUAGUGUUUCAGAUUCUGAUUCAAAAUUUUAUCACAAUGUACAUAAAUGUUGUGCCUUUUCACGCAUAUAUUGCAGUUGUUUUAUGAGUUGUAAAUGUUGAGUUGUUGAGUUGUAAAUGGUGCUCCAGAUGCCCAAG
rnacentral:lncRNA from 1 species